AGAAAGGCAGAGGAAGAUUUGGCACAGACACAAAGAAGAGAAGGUGAUGUGAAAAUGGGACAGAAAGAGAUUUCUAGAAAUACUGAUCUUGAAUAUUGGAGUGAAGCAGCCACAAGCCAAGGAAUGCCAGACCCUGUCAGAACAUGGAAGAUGCAAGGAAUGGAUGCUCUUGUGCAGAACCUUAAGAUUUGAAAAGAGGAUUUGUCUCCUCUUUUCCCUCAGAGUAGCAUCUAAGCUUCUGACAGAGCAAUGUGAAAUCUGGGAGGCUUCCUCUGGGCACUUUGGAGAUGGUCUAGGGCUGGCUGUCAUCGACUGAAAUAUGCAGUGACAUCUGGUCCCUGGGUGUGGACACCCACGCUGGCUCUUGGUAGGUUGUUUAAAACCUGUCCGUUGCUAGGCCCUUUCCACUCUUUGUUCCUUGGAUGGUAUUUUGGGUUUUCCUAAGCAGGGUGUGCAACUAUCAUCCAGGUUUGUCUCCCGUACCAUUAUGCAGAGUGUUUCUCCAUGAUUUGCUUUGUCUUAUGUCAACCAGAUGUGAAAUGAAGCCAAGUUAGCCUCUAUUGUUCAGCCCCUACACUUGAUAACACAGGGUUCUGUCAUCCAUCCCUUCCACUCUACCAUAAACUCACACCAGCUUCCCCAUCUCAGAGGCUCUUCCCUGGCCUGUGGAGAAUAGAUGUAGUGGUAGAGGGGCCAUGAGAACUCACUCAGAAAAUAUUCUUGCCAAAUCUUCAUUCUAACAUCUAGACUGCAGCUUUCUUAAGGUUAAAAGCCAGAAAUUAGACAUGGUUGUUUUUCAUUUGAUCCAUAUAGUAAACACAGAGGGUGAUUGAGUUGAAGGCUGGUUGCAUGGAAUGUGUACAGUCAUCUCCCAACACCCCGGCAGACGCCUGAAACCACUGACAGCACCUAACCCUACAUAAACCAUGUAUUUUCCAUCUGUCAACAAAUUGGCUAAGUGACUACCUGGGAGGUAGCAUAGACAGCACAGAUAUGCUGGACAAAGGGAUGAUUCACAUCCCAGGCUGGACUGGGCAGGAUGGCAGAAGAUUUCAUCAUGCUAUUUGGAAUGGCACACAGUUUAAAGCAAAUAAAUGGUUUAUUUCUGGAAUUUUCCAUUAAUGUUUUCAGACUGCUGUUGACCACAGGUAACUGAAAUCAUGGAAAGAGAAACUGCAGAUAAGGGAGGACUACUCUAUGUGGUGGGGGAACAUAUACAUAAGAGAUGACAUUGUGAAGUAGGUAAAAUUGGUUUUAAAAUCUUUAAUACUCUAUUUUUCAACUUCCACAUCUUAGUAUUGUGUGUUCCUGUGAUUUCUCUAUACCCUUCUUUUUGAAAUCUAUUUUCAGGAAAUCGUCUGAUACAUACAACCCUAAUAAAGUUCGAAUGACUUGCAGCACUUGCAUUGUUCUUUCUACAUGUAAUUUGAUUUGAAGCAAAAAAAUUCUGAGACAAAGGAAUAAUUUUCUCUAAACUCAGCAUCAGUAAGUGGGACAGAUAACGAGGUUUUGGAGUUAAGGGAGAAGUUGUCCUCGAUCAUAUCAUUUAGAUCAUUAUUUGUUUUGCUUUAUAUUUGCUGAUAUAUUUUUAGAUUCCGAAAUGAAUUCUAAUAGGUAACUUUAAAGGGAAAAUUUACCUUUAUUGUAAUAUUAUUUUCAUCAAAUCACUAAUAUGACAAGAAUACAAAAUCCUGAAAAUAAGUUCAAAUUUUCUAAUUUAAAAGAAUUGAAAGUGUUUAUAUAUACUCUAAUAUAGAUGCUUUAAAUAUAUAAACUUUUAAUAUGCUAUACAAAUA
rnacentral:lncRNA from 10 species